ensembl:lncRNA
CCUGAACCCAAGAUGACUGGUGUCUUUACAGGAAGAGGAGAGACAGACGCAGAGAGGAGACUCCCAUGUGGUAAAGGAGACACAGGGAAUUUGUAUUGGCAGAGGCAGAGAUUGGAAGGAAGCACCGGGGGAGCCAAAGGAAACUAGGAGAGAAGGAAGGAAGGAUUGUCUCCCGAUGCUCCCAGGAAGCCCAGCCCAGACAUCUGCAGUGUAGACACAGACUCCACAACGUGACAGAAUGUGUUUCUAUUGCUGCCAGCUACCCCGUUUGUGACCAUUUGUUACGGCAGCCCCAGGAAAUGAGUGUGGUCUAUUUUUACCUGUAUCUCCAGUCUUCGUCUGGGUUCAUGCCUGAUUGCACCCUAGCUUAUAUGUGAUUGUUCAUCUCUGGGGAUUGCCCACCUCUGCCCCCCGAAAAAGAACUAGGCCAUCAAAUGUGAGUUCUCUGACAGAAUUCUCCCCCAUUAUCUGUGAUUUUGGCUGCCUGUGCUCAAUAGCGUCCUGGAAGCCGAUGCUCCUGCUUAUGUAUUGCAAAGGGAACGAGGCCGACCAAGAAUCACGGUGCUGUUCAUUUCAGACAUGGGAGCAGAAGACAAGAUUUCAGACUCAUACACACUGCGACCCCAUGCCCGACUUCAAAAAAACAGUGAUUCAUCCAGACACCAAAGCUCAGCAGCUCAGAGUCAACCUCAAAUAUAGUCAAAGCUCACCAAGUGCUCCCCCAAGAAAAAUAGAACCUAAGUGCCUGACGACCUUUACCGCAGGCAUAUUUUUAGGGACGUGCCUAUCCCGUAUACUUCUUGCUCCCUCACGUAGAAGGAAAUCUCUAGAAUAACACCUCCAACUGAGCCUCUCUUCCUCCAACUCUCUUGCUCCCCAGCCCAUGGAGGAUGGAUAGGGCCAUCGUAGGAGAAACAGUGUGUGAGACAUGGCUUCUUCACGAUGACUGCGAGGCUCAGCACCCCGAUGUUGGGUGGCCCAAGCCGCCAUGACUCGACGAACUUUUACAUUCUCAAAGUUGCAAUGAAUGAAAAGCCUUCUCCAACCUCGAGCAGGGGAACUAACUGAGUCUUGGAACAUAGAAGGCAAUUCCUGGCUUUAUUCUUACUGCUGUCAACGUGGUUUAUGCAAAAACACAGGGUGGGAUUUAUAAAAAUGUGUCUAAAACCUAAUCUCUGUGCUGAGCAGUUGGGGAGAUUGAAACAAUUUACAUCCCAUCUCUUUCAACUUUUGUCCAUGUAUUUAGAUGCUUUUGGGGGGAUCCCAUCACUUUCAGCUUUUAUCCAUUGGGGGGGGGGGGUCUUCUCCUAUUUUGCUUCCAAAUGGGUAACGUGCAUGAAGACUAACAAACACAGUGUCCAUAUCAUUGUCCCCGUAACCCAGCCACAGAUUAUGUAGACUGAUACAGAAGAACAGCUGAUGGAUGACAGAAAAGCAAGGAUUCAUGACUCGGUUUUUAGGGAUGUGGGGUUGGCACACUCCUUGAGACAAUUUCCGCCUAUCAAGCAAACUCCACGUAAGAAAGCGUUGUAUCCAUGGCACUGACUUCUCCAUGAAAGGAAGCAGAAGACCUUAUAAUACCUCCAUCCCCCAACUUUGUAAGGCCGUCAUCCAAAGAAGGGUCUGGAAGACCAUUACCCUCAAAGCACUAAGCAUGGAGAACCAUACAUUGUCCUAUGACAUGGUUGAUCCCGACAAUUCAAUACCAUUUACCAUUAACCACACAACAAAAUAUAUAUCAAAAUAUGUAUCAUAUCAAUAAAUAUGGUGGACAAAUAUGUUCA